CAAACUGGAGAUGGCGACCGGCGCACGGUGAGUAACACGUAUCCAACCUGCCGAUAACUCGGGGAUAGCCUUUCGAAAGAAAGAUUAAUACCCGAUGGCAUAAUAGAACCGCAUGGUUUGAUUAUUAAAGAAUUUCGGUUAUCGAUGGGGAUGCGUUCCAUUAGGUUGUUGGCGGGGUAACGGCCCACCAAGCCUUCGAUGGAUAGGGGUUCUGAGAGGAAGGUCCCCCACAUUGGAACUGAGACACGGUCCAAACUCCUACGGGAGGCAGCAUG
rnacentral:rRNA from 1 species